rnacentral:tRNA from 1 species
GCGCGAUUAGCUCUCUGGGAGAGCAGCCGCCUCUAAAACGGUAUGAGAUGGGUUCGAUCCCCAUAUCGCGCG